rnacentral:rRNA from 1 species
UACGUAGGGUGCAAGCGUUGUCCGGAAUUAUUGGGCGUAAAGAGCUCGUAGGCGGUUUGUCGCGUCGGCUGUGAAAACUCGGGGCUCAACCCCGAGCCUGCAGUCGAUACGGGCAGACUAGAGUGCGGUAGGGGAGACUGGAAUUCCUGGUGUAGCGGUGAAAUGCGCAGAUAUCAGGAGGAACACCGGUGGCGAAGGCGGGUCUCUGGGCCGUAACUGACGCUGAGGCGCGAAAGCCAGGGGAGCAAACGGG